rnacentral:rRNA from 1 species
AGGACGAACGCUGGCGGCGUGCCUAACACAUGCAAGUCGAACGGGGGUAGCAAUACCCUAGUGGCGAACGGGUGCGUAACACGUGAAGAACUUGUCCAUCGGCGGGGGAUAGCCGGCCCAACGGCCGGGUAAUACCGCGUACGCUUGUCGAGUGGCAUCACUUGACAAGGAAAGCAGCAAUGCACCGAUGGAGAGCUUCGCGGCCUAUCAGCUUGUUGGCGGGGUAAUGGCCCACCAAGGCAACGACGGGUAGCUGGUCUGAGAGGAUGAUCAGCCACAUUGGGACUGAGACACGGCCCAGACUCCUACGGGAGGCAGCAGUGGGGAAUAUUGCGCAAUGGGCGAAAGCCUGACGCAGCGACGCCGCGUGUGGGAUGACGGCCUUCGGGUUGUAACCACUGUCGCGAGGGACGAAAAAAUGACGGUACCUCGAAAGGAAGACGACCGGCUAACUCUGUGCCAGCAGCCGCGGUAA